UUCGUAACUUUCGGGAUUUCAUUACACACCUGACAUGGCUUUGAUGUAGAAGCGACUGAGGUGAAUCCAAAACCUAAAAAUGACAAUCCAAAGGCCAAUUACACAAUUAGCCGCAACGAAACGCUAGAAUUAGAGUACAAAAUCGAGUUGUGUCAAAAAGUUUCAAUGAACCCCAAACUCAAAGAUUCACCCCUUACCUUCGCACAAAACAACAAUUCUCAGAACUAAAAUGUUUGGGGAACAUUGUUCUCACGAUAUUUGCCUACUAGAAGACCAAAUGAACACUUAAUCAAGGAAUUCAAAUAACUAAGCGAAACCUACUUCGACAAUAUGAACAAAAAAAUACUAACAGAAAUUCAUAUCAAGCUUACACAAUUAUCCAAACAAUAGAAGACAAUGAAAGGAAAAAAAGGAAAAAAAGUUUCCCCGUCGUAACAACAACAAAAAUGGCAACACAUGAAGGAAAAGAAGGAAGAAAGAAAGAAGAAAAAAAGGAAAGGAAAAAAUGUCACAGAAA
rnacentral:lncRNA from 1 species